rnacentral:rRNA from 1 species
UACGAGGGGGGCAAGCGUUGUUCGGAAUUACUGGGCGUAAAGCGUGCGCAGGCGGUUCCGCAAGUCAGAUGUGAAAUCCCCCGGGCUCAACCUGGGAACUGCAUUUGAAACUACGGAGCUAGAGUGUGUCAGAGGGGGGGUGGAAUUCCGACGUGUAGCAGUGAAAUGCGUAGAGAUGUGGAGGAACACCAAUGGCGAAGGCAGCCCCCUGGGAUGACAACUGACGCUCAUGCACGAAAGCGUGGGGAGCAAACAGG